GUGACUGGGAGCCGGUGGCGGGUAGGGACGGAGGUUGAGAACUCUGCAGAGAAGGGAGGGAAAGGCUGCUUCCGGCAGGACGCCAGGCUGAGCGGUGGCUUCAGGGACGCGGUGCCUUCACCUCCUGCCAGCCUCACUUUGACCCAGUGAUCUGGAGGUGGAGUAGACCACCAGUAGGCCUGGCGAAUCCUGGCAUGGAAAGAGCCCUGCUUUCAGAGGCAGCGAGGGACCUUGGACAAUGACCGUUUUAAAGAUGGUUAAACUGAGGCUGAGGAGGGCAUAUGAUUUAUUCAAGGGCACAGCUGCCACACUAAGCGACUUUACUGCGGCUGACAGCCCAGGCUUUCCGACUGCACAGUGGGAGUGGACCCCCGGAAGGCAGAGGCUCUGUUCCGGCAGCUUCUCCACCAGGAAGUGAACUCCACAAGGUACCUGUCUCCUCACAUUGCGCCUUUUUGAAAAAUCCUCUUGAAGGUACAUCUCAUAGGUAGGACCCAGGUCA